UACGGGGGGGGUAAGCGUUGUUCGGAAUUACUGGGCGUAAAGGGCUCGUAGGCGGCCAACUAAGUCAGACGUGAAAUCCCUCGGCUUAACCGGGGAACUGCCUCUGAUACUGGAUGGCUUGAGAUUGGGAGAGGGAUGCGGAAUUCCAGGUGUAGCGGUGAAAUGCGUAGAUAUCUGGAGGAACACCGGUGGCGAAGGCGGCAUCCUGGACCAACACUGACGCUGAGGAGCGAAAGCCAGGGGAGCAAACGGG
rnacentral:rRNA from 1 species